AAGGUGUUAACUUAAGAUUAAAGUGCCAAACUUUUAAUUUGGAAAUGGUGGACCACACCUUA
rnacentral:tRNA from 1 species